GUAAGUGGGUUAUUUUGUUGUCUAUUAUUUGUGUUCCAAUAAUAAAUUAUUUUCCCACUGGUUUCUGGAUUCUUAUAUUGACCUUUUAAAUAAGUUUAUUAAUUUUUGUUUUUAUAAAUAUAUUUUGAAAUCUCCAAAUUUUUAUUUUACUUUUAUUUAAGAAAUAAGGUAAGUGAUAUAUUUGUAUUAAUGUCUGUCUGUGUAUCUCUAUCAAUUAUUUUUUUAGGUAUCAUUUAAAAAAAGUGGAAACCAAGAGAAAUGCUCCAAUUUCCUUGCACAAAAGCUUGUGCUUGGUUCUUUCAGUGAGAACUGGUAAUGAUGCUUGUUAGCUGUAGCUAGCUGUAGUUAGUGUAUGCUAGUUGAGUGGUUACAGAUACUUCUGUGGUACACAAACUUCCCAUGUCUCGGUGAUGAUUUACCACUGAACACUUUUCAGGACUGAGAUUUGACUGAAUAUUCAGAGAGGCUUUAUGUCCCAGAGUACUUUUAGGUAUCUCCAUAAAAGUUAUUUCAGUUAGAUACAAAAAGACAUGAAACAUAAUAAGUAGUUCAUUUGUUGGUCCUAGAAAAAUGGUUUUUGAGAAUAGAGAAGGUGGAGAUAAAACUGAAAUCAUUGCUUAUUCAAAUAAAGGAUAUUCCUAACUUAUUACUAGUGAUUACUAGACUCUUUCAAAGGCUAGUAUUUUAGCUGUAAAGUGUGAUGCUGUGUCUGAUUUCCCAGAGAUAACUCAGGCAGAAGUGUUACAGAGUUGCGUGUGACUGUAGUGCUCACCACAGUGAGCAAAGAGUUGUUCAUUUAUUUAUUCCUUUAAAUAAAUAAAAAUUUGUAUAUUAGAACCUUCAGAGACAAGUAGAUAUUUUUCUAAUUUUCUUUAUUCAUGAACUUUGAAAAAUCAAAAUUAUGUCUUAGUGGAAAAGAUAGAUUUACUUCUUUUUUGUUUUGUUUUGUUUUGUUUGUUGUUUUUGUUUUUUGAGACAGGGUUUCUCUCUGUAGCCCUGGCUGUCCUGGAACUCGCUCUGUAGACCAGGCUUGGCCUCCAACUCAGAAAUCUAUCUGUCUCUGCUUCCAGAGUGCUGGGAUUAAAGGUGUGCGCCACCACCACCCGGCUAGAUUUACUUCUUUUAAAAAUGUAGACUAGGGGCAGGAGGAAAAAAAGUAGAAUAAAAGGGAGUCUGGAAAAAAUGGCUCGGUGCUUACAGACAUACAUAGUGACUCUGUUGUAACUCCAGUUCCGGGUAUGCGGUAGCCUCUUCUCUAGGCUCCAGGCAUGCAGAUCAUGCACAGACCCUUCAUGCAGGCAAAACACUUAAACUCCAUUAAAAUAAAAUAAAAAAUUUUUUCGUUUUUGUUUUUUAGUUUGAGUGAGAUAGAGACUCUCUAAACAGCAUGGCUGUCCUACAACUUUCUGUGUAGACCAGGCUGACCCUAAACUCACAGAGAGUCCACUUUGCUCUGCCUCCUGAGUUCUGGGAUCAGAGGCAUGUGCUACCACACCCUAACUAAAAUAUUUCUUCUUGUUUUUUAUUCCUUAGGCAGGGUCUCACUGUGUAGACCUGGUGGUCCUAAAACCCACUAUGUAUCAUUGAACUCACAGAGAACCCACCCUUUGUUUCUUGCUGAGAUUAAAGAUGUAUCCCAUGCUGGACCCCCUCCCCCCCUUUUUUUUAUGUAACCCUCAAGAUUUUUGUUUGUUUGUUUCUUUCUUUGUUUUUAAUAUCUUUUUAGGUUUCUCUGUUGUACCACCACUAUGCCCCAAUAUUCUGUUUGGAUGUGGAGAGAAAAACUUCUGUUAUUAUUUUGACAGAUUUUUUUUUAUACAAAUAUUUAACCGAUGCCAGUUUUUGAAUUAUCAAGUAUUUGCCAGGUGUUAUAAUUUGGGGCCCUUGUUUUUCUGUUGAAGAAAGGAAUAAAUAACAAAAAUUGUAUCAGGUUUCCUUAAUUGUAAAGUUAAUGGCUUGGUGGUACAUGUCCUACCCUGUAAUUUCAGUAUUUGGGAAACAGAAGCAGAAAGAUUACUUCAAACUGAAGGCUAGCCUGGUCUUGGUAGCAAAUUCCAGGCCCAGCAGGACUUUGUGUUGUGGUAUGAACCUAUCUUGAACCAGGAAAAAAAAGUGUUUGGUUUUUUUUUGUUUUUUUGGGGGUGUUCGAUUUUGUUGUUGUUGUUGUUUAGAUGAUAAAAUGUACAAAAGAGGGAGUAUAGGAUUCUUUGAAAUGAGGAGACGAAUUUAAAGAAUGACCUCCUGAGGAAAAGACUUAAAUAGGAUACGCAGCAUGUGCAACAGUUACUGGGAGAAACAGAAUCCUGUAGAUUUAUUUAUUCAUUAAUUUUUUCAUUCAUUUAUUGAAUUCCAGAAACAUGAGCACUGCUCUAGCUAUUGACAUGCAGUAGUAAGCAAAGAUCUGAUGUCUGACUCCUUAUCUUUCUCAGUGUUGUGAUGUCAGAUGAUAGAGUUGGAUAAGCAAGUACAUAAUGAUGUAACUGAGAGAGCUGUUGUGUGGUUAGUAUUAUAGAAUAAUUAGAAGAAGAGGUGGGAGAGAGUUAAUUACCUACAGAGUUAACACAGCCUAAGGAUAAAAGAGUUGGCAUGAGAAAUGUAGGGCGAAAAGGAUAUUUUGAACAUCCUGAACUGGAAAGGAACACACAUACAUUGUAGAAGAAGUACAAUAAUUCAAGAAGAGAUUUUUGAGAGAUGUGUGGGACUAAGAGUGACUUUGGGAGGCAGGGGCUCAGUGGCAGAGUACUUUCUUAGCUUGGGUAAAGGUCUCGACUCUUUGCCUGAAAGUUAAGAUUUAAAGGAGAAGGAUAAUCAGUCCUUGCAGUGACAAGGACAGCAAUGUGGAAAUAGUAGAUUAACAAAGGGAAUCAUAUCCUCUGUUUGCAUCCCUGUACAGCAGAGUCUUGCAAGGUAGAGAGCUAGGACUACUUAGGAGAAGAAAAGGCUAAAGCACGUGGUGUACUUAUUUGGGGGCAUUUAGUUGAAUGGUCAUGAGAUGAAGUGAAAUUAAGUAUUACACAGAGGAGAAUAUUAGAGAUAGUAAAUAGAUUUAGCAAGCUGGAGAGAUGGCUCAGUGGUUAACAACACUGGCAACUUCUGUAGAGGCCCAGAGUUUAGUUUCCAGCACCUAGCUUUUAGCAUACAGCUGUAACUCAAGUUCUAGAAGAUCUGAUGGCAUUCUUUUCUGACUUUGGGUGCCAUGCAUCCAUGUGGUGCAUCUACGUGCAAUACGUGCAAACACUCAUACACACAAAAUAAAUACAUAUUUU
rnacentral:lncRNA from 1 species